AAGAGAGAGAGAGGGAGANNNNAGGAAGGAAGGAAGGAAGGAAGGAAGGAAGGAAGGAAGGAAGGAAGGAAGGACACGAUUCUAAAUGUUUGAUUUCAGAUACACUAUUAACACCUGCAGAGGGGGGAAGAAGAAAGAAAAAGAAAAGGGGGGCAGCCCAGCCGCCAUACCUCCCUGGAGUGCCCUUGGGGACUCCCAGGACUGAGCCAGCUAGACAACCACCUUCAGCCUCUUUUUUAAAACGCUUUUUUUUUUUAAUUACUAGGGGAAAAAUAUACACAUAAGCAAAAAAAAAAAAAAAAAAUCCUCCCGGCAGGCGCGAGCGGGGGCGGCGAGCAGGCCAAGGCGGUAACGCCAGCCUAAUGCACAGAUAGCUGACAUCAACUUCCGUCAGGCGGCUCCGGGAGAUCGAACCUUUCGAUUGUAACUGGGACAAUUUGCAUAGUGAUUCCCUUUCAGAGCUUUCUCGGGCCCAUAACAAGCGCAGGCAGCUAUUCAAAUGCAAGUUGCGUCCCUAAAUGCGCGGCUGGCCUGAGCUAAAGGAGCAGCUCGUCACCGUGCGAGCCGAGACCAGCGUUGGGGUUCUGGGUCACCUCUUUUCUCCCGGCUUUUCCCUCGCUCUCCGGUUCCUGAAUUAGCUGUUUGUUUAUGGCUCCAGACGUGUGUGCCAGCGAGCCGAGGCAGCGUGCAAGGGAGAGAAUUGAUCUUUCCUCAGACUCAAAGCUGGAGCCGAAGAAGUGCGGGGGAUUUGGGGGUUCUGAGUGGGACUCAGACCCUAGGUGCUGAGGGGAAGCUCGUGGGCUCUCUGGCCCGCUUCUCUAACCCCAGCGACCUUGCAGGAAUCCUCAGGCCUGAGAGCGCCCGGGCUCUGGGCUUUGCAGAAAGUGGCGGCGGCUGUGUCCCGGGUUUUAAAAUCAACGCAAAGGAAAGGAGGCAAAGCUGAAAGCUUGUCGCGUGUCAGAAGCAACCUGCCGUGAAAUCCGCUAAUGCGCCCCGACUCGCCCUUCGCGCAUGUAGCCACAGCAAAUUAUUGCUCAUUUGAUACUCAGAAUUCUAUUGACCAUGGCUUUCGUCGGAGAGAGAAUUCUAACUACUGCUGCUCUGGGCUCAGAGCUGAGGCUGGAAACAAGUAAAUCUAGCAAGAAUUGAUGGAGACAUGCUGGUGAUUGGAGCCACGUGGCCUUGCAUAGAAACCUGCUUUUUUAUUCUGCCUGCCUUGCUCCAAUUCAGGGAAAAGGUCGGCCCCUUUGGAACAGAUUUGCUUACUUGGAAGGUUGGAUAUACAUUUGGCAAGUUCUUUCCAGCUCUAGCCAGGCUGGGGGAGAAAAUGAGACAAUGGAAGAUUGCUCCACGGGCUUUUGGUCAAAGCUAACCCAAGGCAGGAAUACUUGAAGAAAUAUUAAACCAGACCUUUUGAUUCUGCCACAUGAAGAUCACGUCCUAAAUUUCAACCCCACCCCCACUCCUUCAAGACUCUAGGGCAUUACAGAGCUGCUAGAGUGGAGAUGGUACCCUGAGAUCUGAGUCUGGUUGGCAGUGGGCACCCAGCCUCCAUGACCGAAGCCACAGCCAUAGUGUCCAACUGUGUGAAGAAGGAACCUGUGCCCAGAGAAUAUCUGAUCUUUGAUUCUGGAACUCACAGCUCCAGGUGGCUGAAGAGAGUUAGUCCCUAAAUGAGGCUGGAGAACCGGACAAUGAGAAAGACCAAGUGAGUCCCCCAGGAAGCCAGUCACGGAGUCUGCAUUCCUGUUGCAAGAAGCUGAUGCUGGAGACCCAAAAACUUGACCUGUCAAAGGGUGCUUGCCCAUCUCCCUCCUGGCCUAGUAAGGGACCUUCACCUCACCUCCUCACUGCCUCCAUCUGGGAGAAAGUCACCUCGACUCAAAAGAAAGCAAGUCUAAGUGAAUCAGACCACAGAACCUGUCAGAUUUCCAAGAAACAAGCAACCCAUACCCUUCUCCCUCAGCCCUGACACCUAGAGAGUCCCUGGAAGGGAUGGCUGGCAGGGCUUUCAUUUCAACAAAUACUGGGAGCUAAACCUUCUAGGCCGGUUUCCAGAGCAGCAACAAGAACAUAAAGGAAAGCAAUUAACGGUUUUCUAAAUGAGUCCCAGCUUGUGCCGCCUGACUCCAAACCUAAAGGUGCAUCUAAGGGUGCUAAGGGACCGGGAUAGGUACUAGUUGGUUUUGUUUGUUUGUUUGUUUGUUUGUUUUUCUAAUGAUACUGUUAAAUGUGUGUGAAACCACAGCCAAGAAGCCACAUUGUUCCAGAUUCACGCAGUAAAAUUGUAGGAGUGAGCACUGCAGAUAGCAUGCCCAACAUGGAGUACAGGGAAACAUGGAGUGUGGGAGACAUGGAGAAACUGCAGUGAAUUCUGACACUUACAUUGAACAUGUUGGGAGUUUGGAGGAAGAUACAUUGUGGGCUCUUUUGUGUUUUUUAUGUAGUUUUAAAAACAACCCCCCCCAAACCAGGCUGUUGAUACAAUCAUAGCAUCUCAGAUGUAGCAUAUUUAUAUUUCCCCAAGUAUAUUCACAAGAUAUAUAUAUAGCCUACGUUGGUGUGGAAAACAAACUAACAUUUUGUUGAUUCCAGCACAAACUCUGAAAGCCAAAACAAACAAACAAACCACUCUGGGGGACAAAGGGAGGGUGACUUCAAGCAGUCCUUUCUAUAGGGGUGGCUGGCUGAGGUCUGGGACUGUGGAGUUGAGAAAAAGCUAAGUAGAUCAUCCUGAACUAAAAGUUACCUUGGGAAACAAGACUUGAGAUCCGGGGUUGAGGUCAUGUGGGGGGUCAUCCAGUAUUCCUUUGGAGCAUAGCAUAGCUGAGAACUUAGCAGGACUCAGUCACUUCAGACUGGAGAUUGGGAAAUUUCUUCCCCUGGCGUGCACAGCACCAAACCUGAGUUAAGGUGUCCUUGCCUCUCCCUCAGGAUGCUCCCGACAGAGGUACUGCACUUCCCAACUGCCUUAGGCCCCUCGGGGUGUUGCCAGGCAAAUGAAACAAAAAGAACUCAAUAGUAAAUUAUUUUGUUCAGCCUUCUGUCUUUUUAUGAAAAUAAAAGCCAACACUUUGUCAUUUUUAAUUGCAUAAGCAGACAAUAAAUCUAAUUUCGAUAUUGAU
ensembl:processed_transcript Gm16551 predicted gene 16551